AGUGAACGCUGGCGGUAGGCCUAACACAUGCAAGUCGAACGGCAGCACAGUAAGAGCUUGCUCUUACGGGUGGCGAGUGGCGGACGGGUGAGGAAUACAUCGGAAUCUACUUUUUCGUGGGGGAUAACGUAGGGAAACUUACGCUAAUACCGCAUACGACCUACGGGUGAAAGCAGGGGAUCUUCGGACCUUGCGCGAUUGAAUGAGCCGAUGUCGGAUUAGCUAGUUGGCGGGGUAAAGGCCCACCAAGGCGACGAUCCGUAGCUGGCCUGAGAGGAUGAUCAGCCCCACUGGAACUGGGACACGGUCCAGACUCCUAGGGGAGGCAGCAGUGGGGAAUAUUGGACAAUGGGCGCAAGCCUGAGCCAGCCAUACCGCGUGGGUGAAGAAGGCCUUCGGGUGGUAAAGCCCUUUGUUGGGAAAGAAAAGCAGCAGGUUAAUACCCCGCUGUUCUGACGGUACCCAAAGAAUAAGCACCGGCUAACUUCGUG
rnacentral:rRNA from 1 species